UACGGAGGGAGCUAGCGUUGUUCGGAAUUACUGGGCGUAAAGGGCGCGUAGGCGGUACUUCAAGUCAGGCGUGAAAGCCCCGGGCUCAACCUGGGAACCGCGCUUGAGACUGGAGAACUAGAGUUCGGGAGAGGAUGGUGGAAUUCCCAGUGUAGAGGUGAAAUUCGUAGAUAUUGGGAAGAACACCGAUGGCGAAGGCAGCCAUCUGGACCGACACUGACGCUGAGGCGCGAAAGCGUGGGGAGCAAACAGG
rnacentral:rRNA from 1 species